UUCCAUUUGCUGUCAGCUAUUCGUCGUGUAAAGUUGUAUACGAAAUUUGUAAGAUUAGACAAACUAAAAUGUCUCUUAAAUUAAUUAAAACAUACAAAUUAAAAUGUGGCUGAAAUUGUCUACAAAAUCCAUAAAAAUGAAUUAAAAUAUGAUGAACUAAAGUCUCGACAGAAUCUCAAGACUCAAAAUGAUCGUCGUUUUUUAUGUCCUUUUAAAAAGUUUGAGGAGCAUCUGGCUUGGAUGAAUAAUACGCUAUUCUAGCGGGAGUUAAAACG